rnacentral:rRNA from 1 species
UACGAAGGGGGCUAGCGUUGUUCGGAAUUACUGGGCGUAAAGCGCACGUAGGCGGAUAUUUAAGUCAGGGGUGAAAUCCCAGAGCUCAACUCUGGAACUGCCCUUGAUACUGGGUAUCUUGAGUAUGGAAGAGGUAAGUGGAAUUGCGAGUGUAGAGGUGAAAUUCGUAGAUAUUCGCAGGAACACCAGUGGCGAAGGCGGCUUACUGGUCCAUUACUGACGCUGAGGUGCGAAAGCGUGGGGAGCAAACAGG